rnacentral:miRNA from 1 species
GGAGGAUUGCUUGACCCCAGGAGUUCAAGGUUGCAGUGAGCUGUGAUCAUACCACUGCACUCCAGCCUGGGUGACAGAACAAGACCCUGUCUCA